rnacentral:misc_RNA from 1 species
AGUUGGCAUGAUAUACUAUGUCUAGAGAGAGGCUUGGAGCCAAGAGAACAUUGAACGCCUUCAUCGGAGUUACUUGCAGAAUCUUUUCACAGGUAGAUGAACUUUUUCUUGAAUAUUUUUGCCCCAAAUACCAAGUCUUGCUCAUCACUAAUCUUUGUAUUGUUAGUAUAUAUAUAUUUGUUAUAUCAUCUCUUUCACAUAUGACCUGUAUUUAUUUGUGUAUUUUAUAGUUAGAUAGAGACAGUAGUUAUAAUUUUAAUA